UGAAAAAUGUUUACCAUAGUUUGAUGAGUUUGGCUACUCAGUAAGUGAUCAUCAUAAUCCUAAAAAUAAUCAUGGUUGAAAGAUAUCAAUAUUUUCCAAAAUGAGAUCUAUUAACAGAAAUGCAUCAACAGUUUCACUUUCAAUAAAUGCAUAAUUAAGUAUAAUCCGAAUAAUUGAAAUGCACAUAACACUUUAACGCGUCAAUGCAUAAUUCAAAGGAUUUCACAAAAUACCCUACUGGCGUCCCAAGUAGGUCACCUAUAUACCCCAUCAGCGUCCUGAUAGGUCCACUUAAUCCCUA
rnacentral:lncRNA from 1 species